rfam:Glycine max cultivar Williams 82 chromosome 10, whole genome shotgun sequence.
GUCUCUGAGGAUGAUGAAAAAAUAUAACUUUCGUUCUUCCGAAUUUUCGAUGAGGAAAAUACAUGGAGACGACCUGAACUGAAGAGGC